UUGGAGGGCAAGUCUGGUGCCAGCAGCCGCUGUAAUUCCAGCUCCAAUAGCGUAUAUUAAAGUUGUUGCAGUUAAAAAGCUCGUAGUUGAAUUUCGGGAUCAAUUAAUUGGUCGUGCCUCUGGUACGCACUGAUUUUAUUGGUUUCUCCCUUCUGACGAGCCAUGAUGUCAUUAAUUUGGUGUCGUGGAGAAUCAGGACUGUUACUUUGAAAAAAUUAGAGUGUUUAAAGCAAGCUAACGCUUGAAUACAUUAGCAUGGAAUAAUGAAAUAGGACGUUUGACCCUAUUUUGUUGGUUUCUAGGAUCGACGUAAUGAUUAAUAGGGAUAGUUGGGGGCAUUAGUAUUCAAUUGUCAGAGGUGAAAUUCUUGGAUUUAUUGAAGACUAACUACUGCGAAAGCAUUUGCCAAGGAUGUUUUCAUUAAUCAAGAACGAAAGUUAGGGGAUCGAAGACGAUCAGAUACCGUCGUAGUCUUAACCAUAAACUAUGCCGACUAGGGAUCGGAAGAUGUUAAUUUUUUAACGACUCAUUCGGCGCCUUACGGGAAACCAAAGUGUUUGGGUUC
rnacentral:rRNA from 1 species